rnacentral:rRNA from 1 species
AUACGUAGGGUGCAAGCGUUAAUCGGAAUUACUGGGCGUAAAGCGUGCGCAGGCGGUUUUGUAAGACAGUGGUGAAAUCCCCGGGCUCAACCUGGGAACUGCCAUUGUGACUGCAAGGCUGGGGUGCGGCAGAGGGGGAUGGAAUUCCGCGUGUAGCAGUGAAAUGCGUAGAUAUGCGGAGGAACACCGAUGGCGAAGGCAAUCCCCUGGGCUUGCACUGACGCGCAUGCACGAAAGCGUGGGGAGCAAACAGGAUUAGAUACCCAGGUAGUCCACGCCCUAAACGAUGUCAACUGGUUGUUGGGGAUUUAUUUUCUCAGUAACGAAGCUAACGCGUUAAGUUGACCGCCUGGGGAGUACGGCCGCAAGGUUAAAACUCAAAUGAAUUGACGGGG